UACGUAGGUGGCAAGCGUUAUCCGGAUUUAUUGGGUGUAAAGGGCGUGUAGGCGGGAGCGCAAGUCAGAUGUGAAAACUCAGGGCUCAACCCUGAGCCUGCAUUUGAAACUGUGUUUCUUGAGUGCUGGAGAGGCAAUCGGAAUUCCGUGUGUAGCGGUGAAAUGCGUAGAUAUACGGAGGAACACCAGUGGCGAAGGCGGAUUGCUGGACAGUAACUGACGCUAAGGCGCGAAAGCGUGGGGAGCAAACAGG
rnacentral:rRNA from 1 species